rnacentral:other from 19 species
ACGCAGGUUUCCUCAACUGACACAACUCGUGCAAACUGUAACCCCGCCUGGUCUUUCCAGGUCUGGAGGGGAAGCUUUUGUACUGUGUUUGGCUCCACGUUCGGUCUACUGGCGAGCGCUAGUAGUGGCAAUGUUGUUUCGUAGCGGAGCAUGUUGGCCGUGGGAAUCCCUCCUUGGCGACAAGGACCCACGGGGCCGCAAGCCACGUCUUUGACCCAACAUGUGUGCAACCCCAGCACGGCAACCUUGCCACGAAAACCACUUCAAGGUAACACUGAUACUGGUACUCAAAUACUGGUGACAGGCUAAGGAUGCCCUUCAGGUACCCCGAGGUAACACGGGACACUUGGGAUCUGAGAAGGGGAUUGGGACUUCUAUAAAAGUGCCCAAUUUAAAAAGCUUCUAUGCCUGAAUAGGUGACCGGAGGCCGGCACCUUUCCUCUACAACUACUUUACC